GGACUACCCGGGUUUCUAAUCCUGUUCGCUCCCCACGCUUUCGCUCUACAGCGUCAGUGUCGGCCCAGAUCACCGCCUUCGCCACCGGUGUUCCUCCUGAUAUCUGCGCAUUUCACCGCUACACCAGGAAUUCCGUGAUCCCCUACCGAACUCUAGUCACGCCAGUAUCGAGUGGCGUCUCCAGGUUGAGCCUGGAGGUUUCACACCCGACUUAGCGAACCGCCUUAAAGCGCUUUACGCCCAAUGAAUCCGGACAACGCUCGCUCCCUACGUAUUACCGCGGCGGCUGGCAC
rnacentral:rRNA from 1 species